rnacentral:tRNA from 1 species
GCCGGGAUGGCGGAAUGGCAGACGCACAGAGCGCAGCUUUUGUAGCAGGGAGACCUGCUGUACCGGUUCGAUCCGGAUUCCCGGCACCA